UACGGAGGGUGCGAGCGUUGUUCGGAAUCACUGGGCGUAAAGCGCGUGUAGGCGGCCUUGUAAGUCUGGUGUGAAAGCCCGGGGCUUACCCCCGGAAGUGCACUGGAAACUGCAAGGCUAGAGUACCGGAGAGGAAGGUGGAAUUCCUGGUGUAGCGGUGAAAUGCGUAGAUAUCAGGAGGAACACCGGUGGCGAAGGCGGCCUUCUGGACGGAUACUGACGCUGAGACGCGAAAGCGUGGGGAGCAAACAGG
rnacentral:rRNA from 1 species